rnacentral:misc_RNA from 1 species
CUUGGUCAUUUGAGGAAGUAAAAGUCGUAACAAGGUUUCCGUAGGUGAACCUGCGGAAGGAUCAUUACAGAAAGUAAACGCGGAUCAAACCGCGAACUUCUAAACCUUUGACGAUUGACUCAUGUUGCCUCGGCGGGUUCUUCCGCCAGAGGAUACAUCAAAACUCCUGUUUUAACGGUGUUGUCUGAGCUGCAAGCAACGAAUCAAAACUUUCAACAACGGAUCUCUUGGUUCUGGCAUCGAUGAAGAACGCAGCGAAAUGCGAUAAGUAGUGUGAAUUGCAGAAUUCAGUGAAUCAUCGAAUCUUUGAACGCACAUUGCGCCCCUUGGUAUCCCGAGGGGCAUGCCUGUUCGAGCGUCAUUUAACCACUCAAGCCCGGCUUGGUGUUGGGCGACGUCUCCUUUAGGGACGCGUCUCGAAACGCUCGGCGGCGUGGCACCGGCUUUAAGCGUAGCAGAAUCUUUCGCUUUGAAAGUCGGGGCCUCGUCUGCCGGAAGACCUACUCGCAAGGUUGACCUCGGAUCAGGCAGGGAUACCCGCUGAACUUAAGCAUAUC